CCCAGCAGAAGCCACUCUCCUCCCUCGUGCCGUCUUGCGCACUCGCCGCCCUUGUGUUUCCUCUUUACUAGUCUUUCAAACCUUGCGCCGCCGCCGGCCGCCGUCAAUCCUGCGACUGCCCGCCGCCCCCCGCGUCCACGGAGGUCUCCGAGCCAGGCGCCUCCACGACCUUGCCAGGAAGCUCAUAGCAAGGAGUAGGGGCUUAGAUUUGAGAGAUCGGUUGGAGUUGCUCUUAGUUACACAGUCAGGAAGACAAGACAUUAGUUAGGUUCAGGUGCCAGACAGCUGCUUCUUAGAAAAGCGAGUCUCAGAAAAGCAAUUCCAAACAGGGCCUAUCCAUAUUCCUCCCCGGCCGCUGCUAUGAAGCCUGCUGACAAUGAGGCAGCCACCGUGGGGAAGGCACAGCGCAAGGACAAGAAGCAGAAAAGGAAGAAGCGGAACGAUGCCACAGAUGACCACUGUGGUGCCACAAUGGCCAAGGAAGGCACACCCCAUGAGAAGAAGAAGCAGAAGCAGAGGAAAGAUGGGGGUGAGGUGGAGGAGAAGAUGAAAAUGCUGAAGCCGACUGUGAGCAUUGCCAUUGCCGGCUCCAUCAUCGACAACGCCCAGUCCCUCGAGCUCGCUACCCUGCUAGCUGGCCAGAUCGCCCGUGCUGCAACAGUCUUCCGCAUAGACGAGGUCGUCGUCUUCGACAGCACUCCCACUUCAGAGAAUGGUGACACAGGUGACGGUGAAGAGAGUGGUGCGCGUUUCCUUGUUCGGAUACUGGAGUAUCUGGAGACUCCGCAGUACUUGCGCCGGCGUCUUUUCCCCAUGCACAAGAACCUAAAGUUUGUGGGAUUGCUUCCACCACUCGAUGCGCCACACCAUGUGCGCAAGCACGAAUGGUCUGAGUUUCGUGAAGGUGUAACAUUGGAGGGUGAUCGCUCAAAGGGAACCCUUGUUGAUGUGGGAUUAAGCAAGAAUAUUCUUGUUGAGCAAAUACUAGAACCAGGGAAAAGGGUAACUGUAGCCAUGGGAACCAAUCGUGACCUAACAACAGCUUGCAUAAGGGAAGUUGUUCCCCCCUCCACCCCUAGGGAAGAGAUGGGAUCUUAUUGGGGCUAUAAAGUGCGUUAUGCUUCAAAUUUAAGUGGUGUUUUAAAAAAUUCCCCAUACAAGGAAGAAUAUGACCAUAUCAUUGGCACUUCAGAGCAUGGACAAAUAAUUAAUUCUUCGGAGCUGACCUUACCUUCUUUUAGGCACCUUCUGAUUGCGUUUGGUGGACUUGCUGGUUUGGAAGAAAGCAUUGAAGAAGAUACAAAUUUGAAAGGUAAACAUGCGAAUGAUGUAUUCACAUCUUAUUUGAAUACGUGCCCCAACCAAGGGAGCAGAACAAUAAGAACAGAGGAGGCCCUUCUCAUUUCCCUCCAAUACUUCCAAGAUCCCAUUAGACGAGUAGAACAGCAGAUGUAGGUUGUCAUACAGAUGCAUGCAAAUCCGUCCUUGGGCAACAAAAAGCUGGUUGCUAUAGAGCUCCAGUGGUGACAGUAAGUUUUCUCACAGAAAAUUUUGGCCUGUUUGCCUAUGUGACAGUGAAUUUUAGACAAGAGUUUCUGAACAUCCUACUGCUGUGGCGAAAAUUUUAUGUAGAACUGAUUUCACUGUGUUAGGUGGCCAUUUCAAUGUAUCCAGUGGUAUCCAAGGGGACAUAUCUAUCGUUGUUUCAUGCCGUUGACCAUGUACCAACAACGAAGGAUUUCUGUUAAUGCCGAAGGUGCACCAUCCUGCGGGAUCAGCACUAGCUGUUGCAAUGGCGACCCAAUUCCUGCAAGACGCCUUUGGCACCGGCCCUGAAUCCAGAGGCUAACCUCCUCGACGAUCUCCCGGAGCAGCUGCGCAACUCUGCCAUACGUUUGGCUGAAGAUGCACGCGUCCCGUUCUUUCCAUCCCUGUGCUUGGAACAUGCAACCAUGGAUCACUGCGCAAUGGAUUGACUUCUGUCUCACUGAAUAUGGUAGAUUCUCGCGCAUAGACCGCGAUUGCCGUCUCAGUCACUAGAGCAUUGCUUCACGAGGCCUCCCCGUCCUACUACUAUACAGGAUGUUUCAUUGCUACUCGGCACUGCUAUCACAGACACUGCACGUCAUGGCGGCUCUGAACAAAGUGGCACGAUUCUACCUCCGUUUCUCGAGUUUUAGACGGUCAGUGUGAAUUGAUGUUUCUAUUUCCCUCUUAUCUUUUUCUGUUUCCUGGAUAUGUAAUCCCUAUGUAUUUAAAGAUAAAGUUGAUCAUGUUUGGUGCAACAACCACAAGAAUCA